rnacentral:lncRNA from 1 species
CUCCCUCAUGUAACCCCUUUUCAUGGUGGACAUGUUUCUCUUCUGUACACCAAAUGAAAGUUUCUAGGAAAAAGAAAAAGAAAAAGAGAAUACGGGUCAGUCUAGAAUGUUAGCUCAGAGGGGAGGGUGUAAAAAAAGCAAGAAACAGCCUGAGUAGCAUUGUCAAGUAAAUGAUAUCUACUCACAGUAAAGUUUGGGGAUGAUUCAGAGACAUGAUUUCUCGCUGAAGACUCACGCUCUUGUAAUUGAGUUUUCCACACAUCUAAACAAUAACCAACUACAACUAUAAAUACAUCAAAAUAAAAAAUAAAGAACACAAAGUAGCAACAAUAGCAUAAUAUCAUUAGGUUCCUGCACAAUAUUACCAUUCACCAAAAGGUGAUUUUCUCCCACAUCACCUCUAAUGUUAUACUAUUGCUCGCACAGAUAGAUUGUUUAGAAGUUAAAAACACAAAUUCUUAAUUUGAUCACUAUCAAUGUACCUAUAGCAAAUUACAACAACAAGCCUUUUCCCACUAAGUAGGGUCAGCUACAUGGAUCAAACAACGCGAUAAUAUUCUAUCGAACAUCUCAUCUCAAUCCAAUUCAUUAACCUUUAAAUCUUUCUUAAUAGUUUUUCUAGGUCUUCCUCUACCCACCAUCUCAUCUACUCGUCUUACCACAGGAUUUACUGUCUUCCUUUGCCUCUAGUGAUUUCCCUGCCCUCCAGCUGAUCUACUCGACUUGCUACAAAAUCUCCGGAACUUCCCUCUACAUGCCCAAACCACCUAAGCCAAGUUUCCACCCUCUUUUCUACUAUACCAGCUACCCCAACUCUCUCUCUCUCUAAAAACUUCAAUUUUUUUUUUAUAACCAACAAACUCAAAAAAAAUGAAAAUUGCAUUGGAAUUAAGUAGCAAUAGAUAUUGAAAAAUAACAAUUAAAAAAAAGUACCAGGAUUUCUGGGCUGAACAUCGCUGCAAAACAUACGAAGCAAAAGAGCACGGUCGUGGUGUAACAAACUCGAAGCAUUUCUUAACUGCAAUAAAAAAAAAAAAAAAAGAAGCUUUGAAUAAAAAAAAUGAAUUCGAUGAAAAAAGAAGAAAUAGAAUAUGGUGAAAGGGAAAAUAGAAUGAUUGACCUUUUUGGAGUGAUUGAGUAAAUGAGAAGCCAUUAUUGAUUGAAAUUGAGAAUACGGCGAUGAGAAUUGAAAUUAG